rnacentral:snoRNA from 1 species
CUGCAGGCAGUUAGGACACCAGGUUUCUUUUCUCAUGGGGCCUGGUAUGCAAUGGUUGCAGACAGCAGCCUAACACUGAUCUGAGUAGCCCUCAGGGACCUUGGAGACUGUU